rnacentral:lncRNA from 1 species
AUGGAGAAAACAGAGCAGACUCCUCCUCUCAGCAUCAAAACAGGGCUCCUGGCCUCACCUGGGCGCAUCCUGCUGCCUGUAUUUCACUGGGAUGGAUCAUGCCUCCAGACAAUAGAGGAUGACUUGCAAUAUUUCAGACUUAAUUGGGGGAACUGCUGUGUUCGUUUCCCUCCUGUCCUGCUACACCGCUCCCCAGCAGUGUCAGAUCAGCCAAUGGCCAUGUGCCUCAGGAGGUGGCCUCACUCUGCUGUGGGGAAGCAGACAGCAUCCCCAGGGUCAGGUUGUAUCCAUUACACCAGGCUGGAGACUUUCUUCCUGUUAUUGCCAUGAUAACUGGUAAAUGCACUCUGAAACUUCCCAGAAAGUCUUGCAAGAAGCACAAGACCAAAUUCCGCAUGCAAACCAAUCAUAAUGCUGACUCCUG